rnacentral:rRNA from 1 species
UACGUAGGGGGCAAGCGUUGUCCGGAAUCAUGGGGCGUAAAGCGCGUGUAGGCGGUUCGGAAAGUCGGCUGGGAAAGUCCAGGGCUCAACCCUGGGAUGCCGGUCGAUACUGCCGGACUAGAGUUCGGAAGAGGCGAGUGGAAUUCCCGGUGUAGCGGUGAAAUGCGCAGAUAUCGGGAGGAACACCAAUGGCGAAGGCAGCUCGCUGGGACGUUACUGACGCUGAGACGCGAAAGCGUGGGGAGCAAACAGG